GGAUCAUUACAAGAAGCCGAAAGGCUACUUCAAACCAUCGCGAACUCGUCCAAGUUGCUUCGGCGGCGCGGCACCCCUUAACGGGGGCGCCGCAGCCCUGCCUCUCCGGAGGUUCGGGGCGCCCGCCGGAGGUACGAAACUCUGUAUUAUAGUGGCAUCUCUGAGUAUAAAACAAAUAAGUUAAAACUUUCAACAACGGAUCUCUUGGUUCUGGCAUCGAUGAAGAACGCAGCGAAAUGCGAUAAGUAAUGUGAAUUGCAGAAUUCAGUGAAUCAUCGAAUCUUUGAACGCACAUUGCGCCCGGUAGUACUCUACCGGGCAUGCCUGUUCGAGCGUCAUUUCAACCCUCAAGCCCUGCUUGGUGUUGGGGCCCUACGGCUGCCGUAGGCCCUGAAAGGAAGUGGCGGGCUCGCUACAACUCCGAGCGUAGUAAUUCAUUAUCUCGCUAGGGAGGUUGCGGCGUGCUCCUGCCGUUAAAGACCCAUCUUUAACCAAGGUUGACCUCGGAUCAGGUAGGAAUACCCGCUGAACUUAAGCAUAUCAAUAAGCGGAGGAAAAGAAACCAACAGGGAUUGCCCUAGUAACGGCGAGUGAAGCGGCAACAGCUCAAAUUUGAAAUCUGGCUUCGGCCCGAGUUGUAAUUUGUAGAGGAUGCUUUUGGUGAGGUGCCUUCUGAGUUCCCUGGAACGGGACGCCAGAGAGGGUGAGAGCCCCGUAUAGUCGGCCACCGAUCCUUUGUAAAGCUCCUUCGACGAGUCGAGUAGUUUGGGAAUGCUGCUCAAAAUGGGAGGUAUAUCUCUUCUAAAGCUAAAUAUAGGCCAGAGACCGAUAGCGCACAAGUAGAGUGAUCGAAAGAUGAAAAGCACUUUGAAAAGAGGGUUAAAUAGCACGUGAAAUUGUUGAAAGGGAAGCGCUUGUGACCAGACUUGUGCCGGGCUGAUCAUCCAGUGUUCUCACUGGUGCACUCGACCCGGCUCAGGCCAGCGUCGGUUUUCGUGGGGGGAUAAAAGCUUCGGGAACGUGGCACCUUCGGGUGUGUUAUAGCCCGUUGCUUAAUACCUCCGUGGAGACCGA
rnacentral:rRNA from 3 species